UGGGGAAUUUUGGACAAUGGGCGAAAGCCUGAUCCAGCAAUGCCGCGUGCAGGAUGAAGGCCUUCGGGUUGUAAACUGCUUUUGUACGGAACGAAACGGCUCUUCCUAAUACGGGGGGCUAAUGACGGUACCGUAAGAAUAAGCACCGGCUAACUACGUGCCAGUAGCCGCGGUAAUACGUAGGGUGCGAGCGUUAAUCGGAAUUACUGGGCGUAAAGCGUGCGCAGGCGGUUAUAUAAGACAGAUGUGAAAUCCCCGGGCUCAACCUGGGACCUGCAUUUGUGACUGUAUAGCUAGAGUACGGUAGAGGGGGAUGGAAUUCCGCGUGUAGCAGUGAAAUGCGUAGAUAUGCGGAGGAACACCGAUGGCGAAGGCAAUCCCCUGGACCUGUACUGACGCUCAUGCACGAAAGCGUGGGGAGCAAACA
rnacentral:rRNA from 1 species